GUGUGUGUGUGUGUGUGUGUGUGUGUGUGCGUUUCUUGCUAGAAUUUGUGUAUGUUUGAGAGAACUUCUAUGUGUGUGUAUGUGUGUCCAGAUGGGCAGAAGAUUAUAGAGCCGUGUGUGUGUGUGUGUGUGUGUGUGUGUGUGUGUGUGUGUGUGUGUGUGUGUGUGUGUGUGUGUGUGUGUGUGUGUGUGUGUCUGCAUGCAUGCAUAUUGCCUGAAGAUUGUAUGGUGGUUUUGUGUGUAUGUAUGCAAAAGGCAAUGUAUGUGUGUAUGUAUGCAUGCAAAUAAUCAUUAUUACCUCCGUCACCUGUGUGUGUGUGUGUGUGUGUGUGUGUGUGUCUGUGUGUGUGUGUGUGUGUGUCUGUGUGUGUGUGUGUGUGGAUGUGGAAUAAGGACAAAUUCCUGGUGCCAGGAAGCAGCCUCCAGCCCCCAGCAACAGGAAGAGUCUCACUACAAUCCUCCACAACACUGCUGAUUUCAAGCCAAAACCGCAGAAUUGCAGCCAUGGAAUCCAUCUGUGCCGCCCAGUUGAUCACCGAGGACGAGGGCUUGGGUCGGCUGGCCCACACGGUGCAGGUCUUGGUGGACCUUGCGCCGACUGCUGCCAGCCACCGCCGCGCUAGCAGACCGGAGCCACUAGGGGCGGACAGGCUAAGCACUGCUCCAUCCUUCUCUCCGCUCCAUGGCGUCCACUGAUUCCUGUCAUCCAAAUGUCCAAAAUGGUACCCCAAAAAAAUUCUUCUGUGUUUUCAAGUAAAAACAGGCGUUUAGUUAGAUUUUUUUGGUUUUCAAGUAGGCCUAUAUAAAUUAUGCACAUGGCAAGUGGAAGUCGAGCAACUUGUUUUAAAGUUGAUUCAUACUUUUUUUUUGUUAGGAUCUUUAACUUCAAACAUUGUUUUACUCGUCAAACACCUAAUUAUCAUGCAAUUGUUCAUACGGCAUUAUCAUUAUCAUGAUUAUCUGCAUUAUCCCGACCAACAAUAACAGCAUAUGACUGCACUGAAUCCAUCAAAAAAAACAUGUAUUAUCAAUCUUUGUCAGUUCCAUUCCCUGUCGUCGUCAUUCAGAAAAAUUAAAAUAAAAAGCUAUACAUUUUGAUCGACUAUAUGGGCAGUGACUUGAGUGUUGCUGUUUAUUCCUGUGCCCAUCAGACUUCAUCCCACCUCUCAUAUUCAGUCGACGAAGAGAACACAGUCUAUCUCAUGUUUAACAGCUACCAAUAACUAUAACCCUAACCCUCAACCAAUCAGAACCAAUUAGAACCCAUUAUAAAGUGCUCAACACCGUAUGGUUCUUUUUAGCCCUGUUAAGCUUGGGCGCAACUUUGAAAAUGCUUUGUAUUUUUGUAUGUUUUUAGCUAAAAAGUUGAACGUUUUUUGUAAAUCAACAUUGUGUGAUGUUACAUCAAAUCAUGAUGUCACAAGGGUGCAGCUGAUAGAGCUGUUUAUAGCGACCCCUGGAGUCCUGCCACGAUAGGUCUUCACUGGAACCGAACAACGUCAUGUGAGUUUUAAGUCAACUAUAACCUCCGGUAGUGUCUCUACGGUGCAGCGGUGAGUGCUCUUGGAUGGCAGCGUUCGAGACCGGGGAUCAAAUCCUGGCACACUCGAUCAUUCUGCCUGAGCGAUGUCAUGUGGUCUGAGUGACAAACAUCAUUCAGACCAAGAUUGAUUGAGAGUGAAGUCUGAAGAUUUAGCUUACUACCAUGUGUAUAAUGUCAUAUGUAACCUCUCUAUGACAUGACUGUUGUUUUUUAUUGGUCGUCAUGAAAAAAACAUAACACAUAACACACAAACUUGUUUUUUAUUGGUCGUCAUGAAAGAAAACUGCCUAACCCACUGGAGACCGUGGCACAAUUUCUGUGGAAAACACAAUAUCUUUAAUUUUAUACGUAAUGCUAUCAUGUCUAUUGCAUAUUGUCAUAUGGAACCACAGACCUUUUUGAAUUAGAAAUCUCAUUGGGAAGUGGAGAGAGCUGUGAGCUAACCCCCUGGAGACCGGGGUUCAAGUCUGGUUGUUGACCGCGGUUGGAUGACUCUUAUCUCUAUUUCAUGCGAAUUAUAAAGUAUGCGAAUUAUAUCAAGUAAAACCAUUGUGUUGUCAAUAUUCUGUGUCUUGAUGGUGCAAUGAUAAGUUUGGAGGUUAACACUCCAAACAGCUCAGGUUCGGAUCCCUGCAAAAACGUCAUUUUGUUGUUUUUUAUUGGUCGUCAUGAAAAAAAAACAUAGGGCGUAACACUGUUGUUUUUCUUUGGUCGUCAUGAAAAGAACCACAAGGGGUAAAAAUGUCGUUUUUUAUUGGUCGUCAUGAAAAAAACAUAAGGGGUAACACUGUUGUUUUUUAUUGGUCGUCAUGAAAAAAACAUAAGGGGUAACACUGCUGUUUUUUAUUGGUCGUGAUGAAAAAAAAAAUUAGGGGUAACACUGUUGUUUUUUAUUGGUUGUCUUGAAAAAAAACAUAAGGGCGUCGGCGCGGGUUUGAUUUUGGUUUUGGUUUUGUUUUUUUCGUCACACUGACUGGACACUAACCAUCGAGAACUGCUUGUCUUUGUCAAAUAAAAUAUAAUGGGUAACACUGUCGUUUUUUAUUGGUCGUCAUGAAAAAAAACAUAAGGGGUAACACUGUUUUUUAUUGGUCGUCAUGAAAAAAAACAUAAGGGGUAACACUGUCGAUAUUUAUCCAUUAAAGGAUAGGGGGUAACACUGUUGUUUAUCUUUGGUCGUCAUGAAAAAAACCACUAGGGGUAAAGCUGUCGUUUUUUAUUGGUCGUCAUGAAAAAAAAACAUAAGGGGUAACACUGUUGUUUUUUAUUGGUCGUCAUGAAAAAAACAUAAGGGGUAACACUGUUGUUUUUCUUUGGUCAUCAUGAAAAAAAAAAUGGGGUAACACUGUUGUUUUUUAUUGGUUGUCUUGAA
rnacentral:lncRNA from 1 species